UGGGGAAUAUUGCACAAUGGAGGAAACUCUGAUGCAGCGAUGCCGCGUGAGGGAAGAAGGUUUUCGGAUUGUAAACCUCUGUCCUUGGUGACGAUCAUGACGGUAGCCAAGGAGGAAGCCACGGCUAACUACGUGCCAGCAGCCGCGGUAAUACGAAGGGGGCAAGCGUUGUUCGGAAUUACUGGGCGUAAAGCGCACGCAGGCGGCGUGACGCGUCAGAAGUGAAAUCCCCGGGCUCAACCUGGGAACUGCUUUUGAAACGGUCAUGCUUGAAUCAUGGAGAGGGUAGCGGAAUUCCGAGUGUAGAGGUGAAAUUCGUAGAUAUCGAGAGGAACACUCGUGGCGAAGGCGGGUUCCUGGACAUUAACUGACGCUGAGGUACGAAGGCUAGGGUAGCGAAAG
rnacentral:rRNA from 1 species